rnacentral:rRNA from 1 species
GUGUCAGCCGCCGCGGUAAAACGUAGGACGCGAGCGUUAUCCGGAUUUACUGGGCGUAAAGCGCAUGCAGGCGGCCUUGUAAGUCGGAUGUGAAAUCUCCCGGCUCAACUGGGAGGCGUCAUUCGAUACUGCAAGGCUUGAGGGCAGGAGAGGGGAGUGGAAUUCCCGGUGUAGUGGUGAAGUGCGUAGAUAUCGGGAGGAACACCAGUGGCGAAGGCGGCUCCCUGGCCCGCACCUGACGCUCAGGCGCGAAAGCGUGGGGAGCAAACCGGAUUAGAUACCCGGGUAGUCCACGCCGUAAACGAUGAGUGCUAGGUGUGGGAGGUUUCGACCCCUUCCGUGCCGAAGCUAACGCGAUAAGCACUCCGCCUGGGGACUACGGCCGCAAGGCUAAAACUCAAAUGAAUUGGCGGGG